CAGCAGCCGCGGUAAUACGUAGGGUGCAAGCGUUAAUCGGAAUUACUGGGCGUAAAGCGUGCGCAGGCGGUUUGUUAAGACAGAUGUGAAAUCCCCGGGCUUAACCUGGGAACUGCAUUUGUGACUGGCAAGCUAGAGUAUGGCAGAGGGGGGUGGAAUUCCGCGUGUAGCAGUGAAAUGCGUAGAUAUGCGGAGGAACACCGAUGGCGAAGGCAGCCCCCUGGGCCAAUACUGACGCUCAUGCACGAAAGCGUGGGGAGCAAACAGGAUUAGAUACCCCAGUAGUCCCUGUCUCUUAUAC
rnacentral:rRNA from 1 species